rnacentral:rRNA from 3 species
GUAACAAGGUUUCCGUAGGUGAACCUGCGGAAGGAUCAUUACCGAGUGAGGGCCCUCUGGGUCCAACCUCCCACCCGUGUUUAUUUACCUUGUUGCUUCGGCGAGCCUGCCUUUUGGCUGCCGGGGGACGUCAGUCCCCGGGUCCGUGCUCGCCGGAGACACCUUAGAACUCUGUCUGAAGAUUGUAGUCUGAGAUUAAAUAUAAAUUAUUUAAAACUUUCAACAACGGAUCUCUUGGUUCCGGCAUCGAUGAAGAACGCAGCGAAAUGCGAUACGUAAUGUGAAUUGCAGAAUUCAGUGAAUCAUCGAGUCUUUGAACGCACAUUGCGCCCUCUGGUAUUCCGGAGGGCAUGCCUGUCCGAGCGUCAUUGCUGCCCUCAAGCACGGCUUGUGUGUUGGGCCCCGUCCUCCUUCCGGGGGACGGGUCCGAAAGGCAGCGGCGGCACCGCGUCCGGUCCUCAAGCGUAUGGGGCUUUGUCACUCGCUUUGUAGGCCUGGCCGGCGCUUGCCGAUCAACCAAACUUUUUAUCAGGUUGACCUCGGAUCAGGUAGGGAUACCCGCUGAACUUAAGCAUAUCAAUAAGCCGGAGGAA